GGAGGAGUGGCAGAGCGGUUGAAUGCACCGGUCUUGAAAACCGGCAUGGGUUUACGCCCAUCGGGGGUUCGAAUCCCUCCUCCUCCGCCA
rnacentral:tRNA from 2 species